UGGCGGUUUAUUCCAUCCCAUCAAUUGUUCGGAUUCAAGAGUAGUCAGCCUCACUCUCUUCCUCCAAAUCAUUGGUGCUGCUGCUACUGUGUACCGGAGAUGAACGGCGCUGGUGGUGCGGGAGGAGCAGCGGCAGGGAAGUUGCCAAUGGUGAGCCACCGACGGGUGCAGUGCAGACUAGCGGACAAGCGGUGUGAGCUCCGGGAGGAAGAGAUGGAGUAUAUCCGGCAGUUCCACCGCCACGAGCCCAGCAGCAACCAGUGCACCUCGUUCGUCGCCAAGCAUAUCAAGGCGCCCCUCCAAACCGUUUGGUCACUAGUGAGGAGGUUUGAUCAGCCACAACUUUUCAAACCUUUUGUGAGAAAGUGCGUAAUGCGAGAAAACAUUAUUGUGACCGGAUGUGUUAGGGAGGUCAAUGUUCAAAGCGGGCUUCCAGCCACAAGGAGCACUGAGAGGUUAGAGUUGCUUGAUGAUAACGAACAUAUCCUCAAAGUCAAGUUUAUUGGGGGCGAUCAUAUGUUGAAGAAUUACUCAUCCAUCCUAACCAUCCACUCUGAGGUCAUCGAUGGCCAACUUGGAACAUUGGUGGUCGAAUCAUUUGUAGUGGAUAUUCCAGAUGGGAACACCAAAGACGACAUAUGCUAUUUCAUCGAGAACGUUCUCAGUGCAUUCUAGAGCCCUUCCCACUUUAUACAAGGUGAAGACUGGAGAGGGUCGGAGCGUAUUAAGGAAAAAAAUGUAAGAGACUCCUAUUGUUCCAUGUCUCACGGCAUGAACAAUAUAGUUGGCACUAAAAAAAAGUACAAGCAUGUGCUAGAUUUGCAUAUAUGAUGCAAUCUUUGCAACCCUUAAAAAUAAAAUAACUACUUCUAAGUUUGCUUUUUACCAUGUUAGAGGCAAAAAAAAAAAUCAGGGGAACUAAUUUCUACCAAACAAACAAAAUAUACGGUAGCAUCUCAGGAAAAAAUAUCAAGAUGAUUACGAUAAACAACCUAGGAUGGCAUGAGAUAGCCAACAGUUUGGUCAAAUAUAUGUUACUUUAGAUAACAAAAGCGUACAAGACACAUUUGGUUAAUUACAUGCCUUGCACGCUUGAAUCGACCCAACCGGCUAGGUUUCUUCCUCCACCGCCUCAGUUAAGUACAUCACCAUGAUUAAGCUCAUGACCUUGUAGUGUCUAUCGUCGAGGCUUCAAGACAAACCAAGCACACAGUUACCUUCACACAAUCACGAAGCAGUUCAUCAAAAGAGCUAUGUUGUUGCUCAAAUAUAUACCACCCUUGUGCUUGCUUGCCUUUUCCAUUCUACCACAAUCGAUCAGCUUCAUGAGCUAGCAUCUGACCUCUUCCCCUUCACCUUGUUGGUGUUGUUGUGUUUCUACUGCCUACCGGAAAUGAAUGUUGGCACAAGUGGUGCGGUAGGAGAAGCGGCAGGGAGGCUGCCGACAGGCGCAGUGAAGACUUACGGAUGAGCGUUGUGAGAUCAGGCAGGACGAGGUGGAGUACGUGCAGCACUUCCGUAGCCACGAGCCCGGUAGCAACCAGUGAAAAUCCUUUGUCACCAAGCACGACAGAGUGCCCACCAAACUGAAAGAAGAUUGGAUCAAAGCGAGGUCGGAAGCGGAAAUCGAGUUUGGAAACAGAGCAGGAAUCGGCCGGAGUCCAGAUCGGCUAUGGUUAGGAUCGGCUAGGUCUGAGUUGGGCUAAGUAAGUCGAUACAGCCGAUUCCGACAAUAUGACUUGUACACGACAUCGGGUUCAAGUUAAUGUACUUCAAGAUGAUUGCCAUGCACGGAUAGAGUCCUGGGAAGGCAAUUGUAUCUAUUAAUUAGGAUAU